GUGACGUCAUUGAGCUGCGCCGUGCUGAGCCGGUGGGAGCAGAGUGUGAGGCUCGGGGUUCAUGGUGUUUAUUGGGAUUAUUCCUGGUUCCAGAUCAGGAGGUUAGUAUUGUCCUCAGUGACCUCCCUGGAGCAUCAUGUGACCUGGUAAUACAGCCAUUCAGUUAUUACUGAGCAGCAUGGAGGAUACUGGAUCAGUAAUACAAUGCUGCCAAUAAUCAGACUAGUACAUUAACAUGGGAGAGGGGGGGGCAGCAUGGAGAGAGAGAGAGGGGGCAACAUGGAGAGAGAGAGAGAAGAAGAGGGGGCAACAUGGAGAGAGAGAGAAGAAGAGGGGGGCAACAUGGAGAGGAGAGAGAGAAGAAGAAGAGGGCAACAUGAGAGAGAGAGAGAAGAAGAAGAGGGGGCAACAUGGAGAGAGAGAGAGAAGAAGAAGAGGGGCAACAUGGAGAGAGAGAGAGAAGAAGAAGAGGGGGCAACAUGAGAGAGAGAGAAGAAGAAGAGGGGGGCAACAUGGAGAGAGAGAGAAGAAGAAGAGGGGGGCAACAGAGAGAGAAGAAGAAGAGGGGCAACAUGGAGAGAGAGAGAAGAAGAAGAGGAGGCAACAUGGAGAGAGAAGAAGAAGAGGGGCAACAUGGAGAGAGAGAGAAGAAGAAGAGGGGCAACAUGGAGAGAGAGAGAGAAGAAGAAGAGGGGGCAACAUGAGGAGGGGCAACGGAGAGAGAAGAAGAGGGGCAACAUGGAGAGAGAGAGAAGAAGAAGAAGAGGGGCAACAUGGAGAGAGAGAGAAGAAGAAGAAGAGGGGCAACAUGGAGAGAGAGAGAGAGAAGAAGAAGAGGGGGCAACAUGGAGAGAGAGAGAAGAGGGGGCAACAUGAAGAAGAGCACAUGGAGAGAGAGAGAGAAGAAGAAGAGGGGCAACAUGGAGAGAGAGAAGAAGAGGGGCAACAUGGAGAGAGAGAGAAGAAGAAGAGGGGCAACAUGGAGAGAGAGAGAAGAAGAAGAGGGGCAACAUGAGAGAGAGAGAGAGAAGAAGAAAGGAGGCAACAUGAGAGAGAGAAGAAGAAGAGGGCAACAUGAGAGAGAGAGAGAGAAGAAAGAAGAGGGGGCAACAUGGAGAGAGAGAGAGGGGAAAGCAACAUGGAGAGAGAAGAAGAGGGGGGCAACAUGGAGAGAGAAGAAGAGGGGCAACAUGGAGAGAGAGAGGAAGAAGAGGGGCACAGGAGAGAGAGAGAGAAGAAGAAGAGGGGGCAACAUAGAGAGAAGAAGAAGAGGGGCAACAUGGGAGAGAGAGAAGAAGAGGGGCAACAUGAGAGAGAGAAGAAGAAGAGGGGCAACACAGAGAGAGAGAGAAGAAGAGGGGCAACAUGGAGAGAGAGAAGAAGAGAGGGGCAACAUGGAGAGAGAGAGAAGAAGAAGAGGGGGCAACAUGAGAGAGAGAGAAGAAGAAGAGGGGGCAACAUGAGAGAGAGAAGAAGAGGGGCAACAUGGAGAGAGAGAAGAAGAAGAGGGGGAGAGAGAGAGAAGAAGAAGAGGGGCAACAUGGAGAGAGAGAAGAAGAAGAGGGGGCAUCAUGGAGAGAGAGAGAAGAAGAAGAAGAGGGGGCAACAUGGAGAGAGAGAGAAGAAGAAGAAGAGGGGGCAACAUGGAGAGACAGAGAGAGAAGAAGAGGGGGGGGGGGCAACAUGGAAAGAGAAGGGGAGUGUGCCGCAUGGAAGAUACUGGAUCCUUAAUGCAAUGUUAACACUAAUUAGAUAAUUACAGUAACAUGGUGUUGGGAUAUUUCCUACGUUCACUAUAUCUGGAGGGACCCACCCUUUUAUACUACUCUAAACCAGAUGGAAGUUCUAAGCAUACCAAAUUAUUAGAACAAACCAAUGGUUAAUAAAUGCUUGCAAAAAGAAGUUUCUUUUUUGUGUGCAAUUGUAUUGCAGAACAAGAUUAUUUUAUCAUAAUGAGGGGGGGUCACAUUUUCUACAUCAUAAGGAGGGGGUUACUUUUUACUGUGUUCUUAUCUUAUCUACAAAGCUUACCUAAUGCUAAACUGAUCAGAAAUGGCUUUAGCUGGGAACACUGUAGCAGGAUAUAUUUGCUGACUCAAGAAGUGUCCUUGAGGGGCAUUGCAGCAAAGGAGAAUGUUUAACCCUUUCACAUGGGGAGAAAAGUAAAGUGGCAGCAUGGAGGUGGUGGGGGGGAGGGUGUGCACAGCAGAGAGGAUACUGGAUCAUUAAUACAAUGCUGCUACUAAUCAGACGAUUAUAUUAAGGAAGGAAGUAUAACCUAUAGGGUAGAGGGAGAGAGAGAAAAUAUGCUGUGUGUUAUAUUGGAGGACACUGAUUUGUAACAAUGUAAAUAAUGUGUUAUUUAGGAACAAUCUGAGUUUGAGAAAGAGGACAUUUACUUCUCUGCGAAGGAGUCGGACUGUUUAAAUCAAGAAGAGAAGAAACUUAACAGGGAUCUAGUGGUAGAGAAUUACCAGACCCUCGGCUCUCUGGGUAAGAAAAUCUCACACAUCCCCUUUACAGGAAAUAUUUCUCAUCAGAGGACAUAUUUAUAUCUGGGACCAGGGCCGGAC